rnacentral:rRNA from 1 species
UACGUAGGGUGCAGGCGUUGUCCGGAAUUAUUGGGCGUAAAGAGCUCGUAGGCGGUCUGUCGCGUCUGCUGUGAAAACUCAGGGCUUAACCCUGAGCUUGCAGUGGGUACGGGCAGACUAGAGUGCGGUAGGGGAGACUGGAAUUCCUGGUGUAGCGGUGAAAUGCGCAGAUAUCAGGAGGAACACCGGUGGCGAAGGCGGCAUCCUGGACCAACACUGACGGCUGAGGAGCGAAAGCCCAGGGGAGCAAACGGG